rfam:Salmo salar isolate Sally breed double haploid chromosome ssa09, whole genome shotgun sequence.
UGUUAUCAUUAAAAGUAAGUCGCUCUGGAUAAGAGCGUCUGCUAAAUGACUAAAA